UUUGUAGUCAUACGCUCGUCUCAAAGAUUAAGCCAUGCAUGUGUAAGUAUAAAUAGUUAACUUUGAAACUGCGAAUGGCUCAUUAUAUCAGUUAUAGUUUAUUUGAUGAAGAAUACUAAUUGGAUAACCGUAGUAAUUCUAGAGCUAAUACAUGUAUAAAGUCUUGUAGACUGCAUUUAUUAGAAUGAAAACCAUAGGUUUCGGCCUAUUCGUGAGUAAUAAUAACUAAUCAUAUCGUAUGCUUAUGUAACGAUGUGUCUUUCAAGUUUCUGCCCUAUCAGCUUUCGAUGGUAGUGUAUUGGACUCCAUGGCAGUAACGGGUAACGAAAAA
rnacentral:rRNA from 1 species